rnacentral:misc_RNA from 1 species
AAGUCGUAACAAGGUUUCCGUAGGUGAACCUGCGGAAGGAUCAUUAACACGCAUUUAAAAAGCAUCCAAUAUCAACAAAUCAAAACCAAACGGUCAACUAUCUCCUCCCUAUUUCGCACACCGGAGACGGUACGAGUAGGCUAACAUUGAAAAAUAACACAAGCUCAAUCAAGCAAUUGUUUGUGCAUAUGUUAUUCUUCAAACACAAGAUAACCCCUUUUAAUUUAUAUUAUUUAUUUAAUAUAAACAAACAACUCUUCGAAUUUGCCCUUGAUUUAUCAAGAACCAAUCCGAACUAAACUAAAAUAUACAUUCGAUAUAUUUUUAUUUUACGAAAUAAUAUAUAUUUAUAAGAACAACUCUUAGCAAUGGAUAUCUUGGUUCUC